GUAGAAUUCCAGCUUUGGGUGUUGGUGGUGAGGUUUAAUGUCUCUUCCUUGA
rnacentral:tRNA from 1 species